rnacentral:miRNA from 1 species
UAAUGAUGAUGAUGAUGAUGAUGAUGAUGAUGUUCUAGAGGUUCCAACAACAUCUACCAUCACCACCACCACCAACAACAAAC